rnacentral:misc_RNA from 1 species
UCUCCGUAGGUGAACCUGCGGAGGGAUCAUUACAAGAGUGAGGGCCCUCGCGGCCCGAACCUCCAACCCCAUGUUGUCCGACUCUGUUGCCUCGGGGGCGACCCGGCCCUUCUGGGCGACGGGGCCCCCGGUGGACCACUCAACCCUGCAUCGUUGCGUCCGAGUCGUAAUAUAAAUCAAUCAAAACUUUCAACAACGGAUCUCUUGGUUCUGGCAUCGAUGAAGAACGCAGC